UCAAUCACAAGGCAAACGGCGUGAAAGCGCCGGACGCAAAGCCACGGGCCCUCAGGCGAUUCAUCCGAUCGCACGGGCAGCCGGGUUGCUUGC
rnacentral:ncRNA from 1 species